rnacentral:lncRNA from 1 species
UGAACAGGAUUCUAACCUAAAAGACCAAACAAACCAGCAAAUUGAUGGUUCUCAGCUACCUGUAAAUAUGAUGCAACCACAGGUGAAUGUAAUUCCACAACAAAUGAAUGCCCAGCACCAGCCUAUGAAUAUCUUCCCAUAUCCUGUGGGUGUUCACACCCCUGUGAUGAACAUCCAGCGCCAUCCCUAUAACAUUCAUCCUCAGCUGCCUGUGCAUCUGCACACAGGAGUGCCUCUCAUGCAGGUAGCCGCUCCUCCCACUGUCACUCAGGGAUUGCCACCACUACCGCCACUGCCACGACCACCACCCUCCCAGCAAGUCAACUACAUAGCUGCACAGCCAGAUGGAAAGCAACUGCAGGGUAUUCCUAAUGCUUCUCAUGUAAGUAAUAACAUGAGUACACCAGUCUUGUCUGCUCCGACAGCAGCCCCAGGAAAUACAGGAACAGUUCAGGGACCAAAUUCUGGUAACACUUCGUCAUCGAGUCACAGCAAAGCCUCUAAUGCUGCUGUAAAAUUGGCAGAAAGCAAAAAAUUACAAAUUCAAGAAAAAGCAGCACAGGAGGUAAAACUGGCGAUUAAGCCAUUUUACCAAAACAAAGAUAUCACCAAGGAAAAAUAUAAGGAGAUUGUAUGGAAAGCAGUAGAUAAAGUUUGUCAUAGUAAGAGUGGAGAAGUAAAUUCUACUAAAGUGACUAAUCUGGUUAAAGCCUAUGUAGACAAAUACAAAUACUCAUGGAAGGGGAGCCAAAAGAAAACUGUGGAGGAGCCUGUGUCUGCUGAAAACAACAUAGGCUGAGAUGAGGAAUGCUAUAAAGGACAUCAUCAAGAUACCUGCGAAGUGCAAUUUCAACAUGUACCAUCAGGAGAAAAUCAUGCAUAACUGUGACUGAAAUCGGUUUUGAUAAAAUUAUUUUUUUUAAUGUAGGAUAGGCUGUUUUGUUCUAAAUAAAUAUAAUUCUGCACUGCAACUUCCAUAUCCACACCCUCACCUCAAAUAAAUAAAUUCAAGAGAAAGUAAAAGGUUUUUUUUUUAAAAAAGGAGUGGUGAUAGUGGACAUCCUUGUCUUCUUCCUGAUUUUAGUGUGAAGGAUUUCAGUUUUUGACCAUUUAGUAUGAUAUUGGCUGUUGGUUU